AAUUGAAUACAAAUUUUAUUUAUUUUCUGUCUUUUGAAAUGGAAAAUUUAUAACAAAAAUAUUUUUUUGAUUGAAAUAUUGGAACAUUUUAUUAUGUUAUUUCAAAAUCGUAUAAGGAAUUUUUUGACAUGAAAGCUAUGCCAAAGCUUUUGAGUAUUUCCAAAACUGGCUCAGGGAUGUUAAUCGAUGUAAGGAAAACAAAAUCGUUGGGCGAAGCCAGGAAACCCAAAGCUGUGCAAAAGGAAUGCUCUGUGAUUUUUAUGGGAAGUAAACAGAAAUGAAAUAAACAAAAAGGAUGUUUUCUUUGAAACGCAUUUAGAAAUUUAACAUAGAUACAUAGAAAUUCUACAUAGGCAGUGGCUUUUAUAUGGUUUUUAUUUUUAUUUCAUUCAUAGCGAAUUCUAUCUUAAACGAGAUAAUUAUCCUUAGAUUGUUAUGUUAUCCAUAAAUACUCGUACAAUAAACUAUUCAUAAAAUUCUA
rnacentral:sRNA from 1 species